rnacentral:rRNA from 1 species
GGCUCAGGACGAACGCUGGCGGCGUGCCUAACACAUGCAAGUCGAGCGAUGAAGUUCCUUCGGGAAUGGAUUAGCGGCGGACGGGUGAGUAACACGUGGGCAACCUGCCUCAAAGUGGGGGAUAGCCUUCCGAAAGGGAGAUUAAUACCGCAUAACAUUAUCUCUUUGCAUGAAGAGAUAAUCAAAGGAGCAAUCCGCUUUGAGAUGGGCCCGCGGCGCAUUAGCUAGUUGGUGAGGUAACGGCUCACCAAGGCGACGAUGCGUAGCCGACCUGAGAGGGUGAUCGGCCACAUUGGAACUGAGAUACGGUCCAGACUCCUACGGGAGGCAGCAGUGGGGAAUAUUGCGCAAUGGGGGAAACCCUGACGCCAGCAACGCCGCGUGAGUGAUGAAGGUCUUCGGAUUGUAAAACUCUGUCUUUGGGGACGAUAAUGACGGUACCCAAGGAGGAAGCCACGGCUAACUACGUGCCAGCCGCUGC